AAGAACUAUUAUAAUACAACUUAUAAUACAACUUCUUCUCAUAAAUCUGUUGAAGUGUGCAAACCAUGAACAUCUUACCGAUUUCAUAACCAUCUCAAUGCAGACUGUUUUUACGUCAUUUCCACAAUGCCACCUCAUCUUUGCUGGAGGACUCUUAUGAAUACCCUGAUUUACAGUGCAUUAAAUCUGAGAUUGAUCAGCUUUGGCUCUGAUGUCAUUUGAGUCAGGAACUUUCAAUCUUUUAAUUGCAGAGCAAAACUGCUUGGACGUUGCCCAAGCUUAAGCAGACUUCAGGGUGGUGGAUUUGAUCCAGGCUAAGAUUAAUAUGCUACCCAGACCUAAGAAGAAUAAGAAGCCAGAGCCUCAGACUAAUGCCAGCUUCAACCCCUGGCUCUACAAAAGAAAAGCAGGGCACCGUUCCCACUUCUACAGCCUCCUAAAACUCAGCAGUCAAGAAAGCAAUGAAGAAAGACAGUGUUAUCGUGUACAGCACUCAGAUCACUACUGGCAAGCUCAACAAAUUGGACAUCCUUUUUUUGCCAAGAACGACGUGGCAAAAUCAUCUGACCACCAGUGAGCUGAUGGAUAGGAAAGCAAGGAGGAGGCAGCAUUUCAGUUUUGAGGUCUAACGCACUGAGGUUGAGCGGCAUACAGAGUUGGAGUAAGUGCCCAUACAGUAUAUCAGUGACAGGGUUCAGAGGCUGAGAUCGUGGAGCUGAGCACUGCGGAGCCAGCAGGGUGAAGCUGGCAGAGAUCUGCUCUGCACUCCAUCGAUCUGGCAGAGCUGGAGUGGGUCAAUGUUUCAGCACUGGGCAGCUUCAUUUUCACUGCAGUGGAGGUGUCUGCUGUUCCACCUCUGGGCACAAACAGAGCCAUAUAAACACACACGCACACAGUCUUGCAUAGAUGGAAGCUGCAGUUCAUUAAGCUGCAGAAGGCACCGAGGUACUAGUUUCCCUCUGAGCAGCCCUUAAGGGUAAGAUCUGCCAGUAAAAACCUGGUAAAAUAAAAAUGCUGCAUCAGGCCUGCA
ensembl:lncRNA